GUCACCUUCGUGCGACGCGCCGGGAGGUUCUGUGCGUCGCGUGUUUCGGCGGCUCCGUGGAGGAUCCGCGUGAUCUUUCGCAUGUUCUCCUGCGCAGUCUAGGGAGGGGGCUGGCGGAGUCCAAGAAAUUCUCCUUGAGGCCGGGGUGUCUCAGCGGACCCUCCGGGCCCAUCGGAGACGUGAGGCAGUCACUUUAAUUAUUUCUAAUACCAAUUUCAAACUAUUUGCCCUUGGAUAACAGUGCAAUUAUAUGAAAGUAUGGCUGGUUAUAAGCCUGUAGCAAUCCAGACAUAUCCUGUACUUGGUGAAAAAAUUACCCAAGAUACACUGUACUGGAACAACUAUAAGACCCCUGUUCAGAUCAAGGAGUUUGGUGCAGUGUCAAAGGUAGACUUUUCUCCACAGCCUCCAUAUAAUUAUGCUGUCACAGCUUCUUCAAGGAUUCACAUUUAUGGCCGGUACUCCCAAGAGCCUAUAAAAACCUUUUCACGAUUUAAAGACACAGCGUACUGUGCAACUUUUCGGCAGGAUGGUAGAUUGCUUGUGGCUGGCAGUGAAGAUGGUGGUGUUCAGCUUUUUGAUAUAAGUGGGAGGGCUCCCCUCAGGCAGUUUGAAGGCCAUACUAAAGCAGUUCAUACAGUGGAUUUUACAGCUGACAAAUAUCAUGUGGUCUCUGGGGCUGAUGAUUACACAGUGAAAUUAUGGGAUAUUCCAAACUCCAAAGAAAUUCUGACAUUCAAAGAACAUUCUGAUUAUGUAAGGUGUGGAUGUGCUAGCAGACUGAACCCGGAUCUCUUUGUAACAGGGUCAUAUGAUCAUACUGUGAAGAUGUUUGAUGCACGAACAAACCAGAGUGUUAUCUGUGUUGAGCAUGGGCAGCCAGUGGAGAGUGUCCUGCUUUUUCCCUCUGGAGGUCUUCUGGUAUCAGCAGGAGGUCGUUAUGUUAAAGUCUGGGACAUGCUAAAAGGAGGACAGUUGCUGGUGUCUUUGAAAAAUCAUCAUAAAACUGUGACAUGUUUAUGUCUGAGCAGCUCUGGACAGCGGUUACUCUCUGGCUCACUGGAUAGGAAGGUGAAAGUAUAUAGCACCACUUCCUACAAAGUAGUCCACAGUUUUGAUUAUGCGGCUUCAAUUUUGAGUCUUGCACUUGCACAUGAAGAUGAGACAAUAGUUGUAGGAAUGACCAAUGGAAUACUGAGUGUUAAACAUCGGAAAUCUGAAGCAAAGAAGGAGUCUCUUCCUAGGAGAAGAAGGCCUGCAUAUCGAACUUUUAUUAAAGGAAAAAAUUACAUGAAACAACAGGAUGACAUUUUGAUCAAUAAGCCAUCAAAGAAACACCUAGAAUUGUAUGACAGGGAUCUGAAAAACUUCCGGAUCUCUAAGGCACUUGACAGAGUCCUUGAGCCCAGCUGUACAGUAAAGACGCCUGAGGUUACAGUUUCCAUCAUAAAGGAGCUAAAUCGAAGAGGAGUCCUUGCAAAUGCCCUUGCAGGUCGAGAUGAAAAGGAAAUCAGUCGUGUUCUUAAUUUUUUGAUAAGGAAUCUAUCCCAGCCAAGAUUUGCCCCUGUUUUGAUUAAUGCUGCCGAAAUAAUUAUUGAUAUAUAUCUACCUGUGAUUGGUCAGUCACCUGUAGUUGAUAAAAAGUUUUUGGUACUUCAAGGACUUGUAGAAAAAGAGAUUGAUUACCAAAGAGAACUACUAGAAACCUUGGGGAUGAUGGAUAUGCUUUUUGCUACCAUGACGAGGAAAGAAAGCACUUCUGUGUUGCAGCACAAUGUAUCUGAUGGAUUUCUAGAGAACAAGAAGAUUGAAUCAUAGUGCGUGCUUAAUAGGACACAUAAGAACUCCUAACUUGGAAUAGAUUUGAUGCUAUUAACUAUUGGGAAGAGAACCUCUUUGAUAACAUUUUUAAAAACUAUUUACAGAAGCAAUUUUAUGAAAUAGCCUGGAAUAACUAUGCUUGGAAAAUAAGGACCUGUUUUUAAACAUGGUUUUCCAUAUGCUAUUUUGAAUUAUUUCAUGGCAUCUUCAGCUGGAAGAUCUCAGUUUGGUCAUAGUGUAUGUCCAUCUUGGGCAAGUUGACAUUAAUUUUAAUAUAGCAGAGUUCUAUUUCAGCAUUUGAGUGGGCAUUCAGAACUCUGGAGUGGGUUUCAACUAGGAACCCUGCCAAAGGAACGAGGCUUUAUUUUUUCCUUCUGUCCUGGAAAACAACAACAAAAAAAAUGGCAACAACAACAAAUAAAUUCUUUCUUCACCCUAAUCAGUGCGCUUGGGAUUCCCAGGCCUCAGCUGAGUUUGCCUCUCUCUCCUUGAUGUCAUCAUUUAUCCCAGGUCACAUGUUCCACCUCAGCUGAUAAUGGGACUGUGUCUCUUCCAGGUGUGGCGAAUUGGUGGCCAACUCUGAAUAAUUGACACUAGUUUGACAUGUAUUCGGAGAGUGUAGUGAGGCAGAUUUGAUACCUAAAAAUUGUGCUCACCAGUCUGUGUUUUCUUUUUCUUUGUGUAAUCUUGUCUGCUUCUCAGAACAAGGUCUGCAGGUAGGCCUUACAGACCAUGUUUUUCCUCUUCCUCUCAAUAUGCAGCCUCUACCUGCUUUUCAACUUUCUUCAGGUCAGGGGAAUGAUAAAAUUUGCCAUUUCUCUUUUUAUUAAUAGCCUUUCAGCCCCUUUUAUACAUAUAUUUGGAGCUUAUCUUGUAGCUGCCUGCCUCUGAAAACCACUUUCUCUGAUCUGUAUUUAGGGUUUUUUUCCCCCCCAUUCUUUUUUUUUUUUUUUUUUUUUAAUUUUUUUUUUUUAAGAACUUUUAUUGAGAUACAGUUAACAGGCAAUAAACAGCAUAUAUUUAGAGUGUACAAUUUGGUAUCCCAGUCUCCCAGUUCAUUCCCCCCCAACCCUCCCUGCUUUCCCUACUUGGUGUCCAUGUGUUUGUUCUCUACAUCUGUGUCUAUUUGUGCCUUGCAUUUCCUCUUUCAUAAUUGUUAGCAUUUGCCUUAUGUAUUGAGGUGCUCCUAUAUUGGGUGCAUAUAUAUUUAUAAUUGUUAUCUUCUCUUCUUGGAUGGAUCCCUUGAUCUUUAUGUAAUGUCCUUUCUUGUCUCUUGUAACAUUCUUUAUUUUAAAGUCUACCUGAUGUGAGUAUUGCUAUUCCAGCUUUCUUUUGAUUUCCAUUUGCAUGGAAUAUCUUUUUCCAUCCCCUCACUUUGCUUCUGAAUGUGUCCCUAGGUCUGAAGUGGGUCUCUUGGAGACAGCAUAUAUAUGGGUCUUGUUUUUGUAUCCAUUCAGCCAGGCUGUGUCUUGGUUGGUGCAUUUAGUCCAUUUACAUUCAAGGUAAUUAUCGAUAUGUAUGUGCCUAUUACCAUUUUCUUAAUUGUUUUGUUUUUGUUUUUGUAGGUCCUUUUCUUAUGUUUCCCACUUGGAGAAGUUCCUUUAGCAUUUGUUGUAGGCCUGGUUUGGUGGUGCUGAAUUCUCUUAGCUGUUGCUUGUCUGUAAAGCUUUUGAUUUCUCCUUUGAAUCUGAACGAGAUCCUUGCUGGGUAGAGUAGUCUUGGUUGUAGGUUCUUCCCUUUCAUCACUUGAAAUAUAUCGUGCCACUCCCUUCUGCCUUGCAGAGUUUCUGCUGAGAAAUCAGCUGUUACCCUUAUGGGAGUUCCCUUGUAUGUUAUUUGUCGUUUUUCCCUUGUUGCUUUUAAUAACAUUUCUCUGUCUUUAAUUUUUGUCAGUUUGACUACUAUAUGUCUUGGUGUGUUUCUCCUUGGGUUUAUCCUGCCUGGGACUCUCUGUGCUUCCUGGACUUAGGUAGCUAUUUCCUUUCCCAUGUUAGGGAAGUUUUCAACUAUAAUCUCUUCCAGUAUUUUCUCAGGUCCUUUCUCUCUGCUCCUUCUGGGACCCCUAUAAUGUGAAUGUUGGUGCGUUUAACAUUGUCCCAGAGGUCUCUUAGGCUGUCUUCAGUUCUUUUCAUUCUUUUCUCUUCUUUUCCACAUCAGUGAUGAUCACCGUUCUGUCUUCCAGGUCACUUAUUCGCCCUUCUGCCUCAGCUAAUCUGCUAUUGGUUUCUUCUAGUGUAUUUUUCAUUUCAGCUAUUGUGUUGCAUAUCUGUAUUUGUUUGCUCUUUAAUUCUUUUAGGUCUUUGGUAAACUUUUCGAUCUUUGCAUCCAUUCUUUUUUCAAAGUCCUGGAUCAUCUUCACCAUCAUUAUUCUGAAUUCUUUUUCUGUAAGGGUGCCUAUGUCCUCUUCAUUUCGUUGUUUUUCAGGGGUUUUAUCCUGUCCCUUCAUCUGGUACAAAGCCCUCUGCUUUUUCAUUUUCUCUGUCUUUCUGUGGCUGUGGUUGUCAGUUCGUCAAGAUGAAGUGCUGCUGACACUGCUUGAUCCUGCUGUCUGCCCUCUUGUGGAGGAAGCGAUCUAGGAGGCUCGAGCGUGCUUCCUGAUGUCCCCCUCUAUUCUUAAUAUCAUUUUGUGUUUUAGAGCCCCAAGCCAGAGUAGCUUGCUUUGGAAAAUAGUUUUCUUGUUGUUGUUAAGUUCAAUGUAAAUCAUUUUUUAUAAAGAGGUUCUUAUUUUCUUCCUGGCUUUCUGAGAUGUACCAGUUCUGAUGGAGAGUCACUGGCUGUAAUUCUAGCACACUGAUUUUACACUUGCUACCUUUCCUGCCUUCCCCACUUCCUCAAGUAGUGAAUUAUCUGUAAGGAAAUAUGUCUUAGACUAGAAGAGUCCUUAGUUAAAGGAAGAUUUUGUAAUGGGAGUCUCCUCUUAAAAUUUCAGCUCUGUGAAUUCAGAUAUAUUUUUUUCAAAGUAGAAAAAAUGUUUCUAUGUUGUGGUAAGGACAUAGGGUCUGGUUUCCCCUUCAUGAAUUGAUUUAAGCAAUCAUACAGCCCAGAGGCUUAUAGGAAACCAGGAGUUUGCUUCCCUGUGUAAUUAUGAGAUUAGUCACGCUCAAAGUUGUGUCUUCAUGUUAAGAAGGCUUAAUUUAUUAAAUUUAUAUUUAAAAGAAAAUUUAACUUCAUAAAUAUGCUAAGUUGGAUACUAGUAAAAAUGAAAGAUUAAAAUUCUACCAAAAAACUAGCUGUCAUCAGCUGUCACAUGUGACAAGGGUUUUCCCAUACAUUUUUUUUUAAAGAUUUAUUUUAUUUAUUUUUUAUUUUUGGCUGCAUUGGGUCUUCAUUGCUGCACACAGGCUUUCUCUAGUUGUGACAGGCAGGGGCUAUUCUUGCAGUGCGUGAGCUUCUCAUUGCAGUGGCUUCUCGUGGAGCACGAGCUCUAGUCGCUUGGGCUCAGUAGUUGUGGCUCAGGGGCCCUAGAGCAUAGGCUCAGUAGUUGCGGCGCAUGGGCUUAGUUGCUCUGAGGCAUGUGGGAUCUUCCUGGGCCAGGGAUCAAAUCCAUGUCCCCUUCAUUGGCAAGCGAAUUCUUAACCACUGCACCAUCAGGGAAGUCCCUCCUAUACAUUAUUUUAUUUGAUUCUUACCACAGCCAUCCAAGGUUGGUAUUCUCAUUUAUCAAUGAAUUUACUACAAUAGUUAAUUCACCCUUUAAUUCCCCAAGCUUGAGUUCAUCAUCCCAGCACUCUGAACUGGCCUGCCUGCUGGGGCCAAAACCACUUACAUCCUUUAACAGAACUUCACAGAAUGCUGCAUUUUUAAGAUGAGAUAUGUAAUGAUUACAGAUUUUCAAAAAGGUUAGGAAACAAUUCCCAUAGCUCUCAAUACUUCCUUGUUAAGUUCAGGAAUGAUUUUUAUAGUCAUUGGGACAGACUAUAGUAUAUGCUAUUUGAGGUAGUAUUUGAACAUAAUUGGCACAUUACAGUAUGUAUAACAUUGGCCUUCAUUUCCAACUUAAAGUGCCUUAACAGAUUUUUAGACUUCUGAAUUUUUGUUGAAAGGUAUUUUAAGAUGUUACUAAGCUUGCAGAAAUAUUGAAAUAUUUCAGAGAAGUUAAUCACUGUACAUUUAAUUUAUAAGAGUUAAGUACUUGGGAAGGUUUUGCUUGUUGACGCAAGCAUUUGAAGUGCUAUUUACAAGAAAUUCAAAUAUCUUAAAUGUAUAAAUGCUAUUGAGUUUCUUAAAGGACUUUGGAUUGUAAAUGUGAUUGUUUAAAGAAAUUUAGCCUAUUUAACUUAAAUCAGCUCUAUUAAACAUUAAUUAAAAGCCCCAUUUAAAAUGAUUGUUAACAUGCAGUCUUCUAAAUGGAAUGACAGAAUGUAUGCUGGUGGGAUAAUCCCUCUGUAGAGAGGCAGACACUGAUAAUUAUAGGAGGGAGGGGGGCCAGUUGCCAGGGCAGUGUCCUUGGGAGGGGACAGGGGCUGAGUGCUCAAAUGGAAGGGUUGGCUUAGACAGCAAAUAAAUAGUUUGUGCAUAGUUCAAGAGGGAAGGCAGAGAUGUGGCACAGAUGCAGGUAGGUGUGUAGAUGUGAUGGUGAGGAUCUGUGGAAGUUCUUUACGAAGUUCCUUUAUUGGAGAAAAAGUAACAACUGAAACAGGUUGGAGAAGGAGGAAGUCAGGUUUUGAAAGUUUUAGGAGAGAACACACAAUAAGAGAUACUUGUAGAGAGGUCAAGAGCUCAUACUUUGGAGCCUGCUGCGUGGGUUUGAAUCUUGGCUCGGCCACUGGCUAGCUCUGUGACUUUGGACAAGUUAUUUUACCAUUUUGUAUUUCGUUGUCUUCAUCUGUUGAUCAGAUAAAAUCACAAAAGGUGGUUGUGAGAAUUGAGUUAAUGCGUAUAUAAGUGCCUAGACUAUUUCUGUUGUUCACUCUUAUUGUUAGGGGAGUGAAUGGACUAAAGAAGGAAGUAGCAUUACUAGCAGCACUAAGGCCCACAUGAGGUUAGUGUCAUGGACUUAAAGCGAGACCAGUCAGCAUGAUUGUGUGCUUUUCUCUUAUCAUGUUCGGCUAUGAGGAUGCAGAUGUGGGAUAGGCUGAGAUAUGAUUUAACCAACGUUGACGUUUUCAUUGGUGAGCACAAAUUAAUUGAGAAAGGGACAAGGGUGUCGUUGACUUAUGUGAAAGAAUGGAUGAUGCAUCAUGGAAUCAAAGUUGGGUAAGUAAGGAAAUGAGAUCGUGAGGGGGUGAGGACAGUGAAAACAGCUGGGUUGAUGGACUGUUAGUUUGUGUGGAGUUGAAAAGUUACAGCUUGUGUACAGUGAGUCCCCUGCAUAUGAACCUUCAAGUUGCGAACUUUCAAAGAUGCAAAUGUGUGUUCCAUCAGCUUCAGGUGUGAGUGACACUGCAGCUUGCCCUUCGUCUCCUACUGCUGACGAUCCUUCAGCUCUGCCGUCUCCCACCUCCUCUCCCUUCUCCAGUCAGGAACUCUUGCCUGUUCACUAGAUGCCAGCCCCUGUAUGCCAGCUGUUAUACUGUACUACUGUACUUUUAAAGGUACUACUGUAAGAUUAAAAGUGGGUUUUUUUGGUUUGUUUUUUAUAUAUUUGUGUGACAAGUAUUAUAAACCUAUUACAGCACAGUACUAUAUAGCCGAUUGUGUUAGUUGGGUACCUAGACUUUGUUGGACUUACAAACAAAUUGCACUUAUGAAUGCGCUCUUGGAAUGGAACUCAUUUGUAUGUAGGGAACAUACUGUAUUAGAGGUAGUUAGCUGGAGACAUGAAAGGUACUGGUGAAAGAGCCAAAAAUUAGGACAAGAAUCAAAGAGAGUGACAGCAAGCCAGGAGCUAUAGUGUUCAAGAAUCGAUGAGGAGGGCUUUUCUGGUGGCGCAGUGGUUAAGAAUCCACCUGCCAAUGCAAGGGACACAGGUGCAAUCCCUGCUCUGGGAGGAUCCCACAUUUCCUGGAGCAACUAAGCUGCACCACAACUAUUGAGCCUGCACUCUAGAGCCCAUGAGCCACAACUGCUGAGCCCAUGUGCUGCAACUACUGAAGCCCAUGCACCUAGAGCCCAUGCUCUGCAACAGGGGAAGCCACUGCAGUGAGAAGUCCAUGCACUGCAAUGAAGAGUAUCCCCCGCUCACCACAUCUAGAGAAAGCCCUCAUGCAGCAAUGAAGACCCAACACAGCCAAAAAUAAAUUAAAAAAAAAAAAGUCGUUCUGCGAGCCCCGUACUGUAUUUUGUAAUAAAAUAUUUUGAAGAUUGUCUACGAAGCUCCCUUUGUCCACCGCUCCCCGUGCCCAGCCCGUCAGCUCUGAAGUGGUGGUCCUGCUCAGCACCCUCGUUAGAUUUUCGUUUGCGGUUGCAAAUGCCCUGUGGGAAAUGCAGAAGUCUUGCCCCUUAGGAGAGAGGAAAUCCUGAGCUGGGAUUGUUUCUGCCAUGUGGAAUGUCUAGCAGCAGCCUCUCUAAGCAUUGGUGGGCGGAGUUUGAAUGUGUUUUUCUUUUGCUUCCUUCAUUCCUGUCUUUGACAUUCCAGUGAAAAGCUCUGCUGGCCAGGUGUCCUGGUGACUGGAACGGGUGUUCCUGUUCGAGGGACAGGCCUUUGUGGGCAAAGCUCAAGCGGGUGAUGCUUGUGUGGCCUUCAAGUUAGAACCCAAGUCCCUUGCACGGGAAGUGCUCUGAGCUCACGUCUCCUGUGGCCAUAGCUUUGGGGUAUUGCUUUUUUACUUCAUGUAAUUCAAAAUUCCUGACUGGUAAGCAUCCAAAAUGAGUCUUUUGUUGUGUUUUUAUCCUACAAUCCCAAAUGCUUUUUCUGUUUUACUAUUUGGGACUGGUGUGUAAAUUAACUUGCUGAGUGUGGAACCCUGGUGUUGAUAGUAUUGUAAGACAUGUUUGCCUACUCCUGAAAGACAAAAUAAAGUUUU